GAUCAUUAAAUAAUUUAGAUGGCCUCCUAGAACUUGUUCUAGUUAGGUUCAUUCUUUUUUACUGUGAACUGUUUUAAUUUUCAGCGUUUGAGGAAUGUCUUUUAGUCAUAGGGAUAGACUAUUAGAAUGUUAACCGAGCUGAAGUCAGGUUUAGACCUGGUAUCCUAUUAAUUAUUUACCAAAAGAAUUCAGUAUUAUUAUUGUAACAUAAGCGUAAAAAACUUAUAAAACAACUUUUAACAACGGAUCUCUUGGUUCUCGCAUCGAUGAAGAACGUAGCAAAGUGCGAUAACUAGUGUGAAUUGCAUAUUCAGUGAAUCAUCGAGUCUUUGAACGCAACUUGCGCUCAAUGGUAUUCCAUUGAGCACGCCUGUUUCAGUAUCAAAAACACCCCACAUUCAUAAUUUUGUUGUGAAUGGAAYUGAGAAUUUCGACUUGUUUGAAUUCUUUAAACUUAUUAGGCCUGAACUAUUGUUCUUUCUGCCUGAACAUUUUUUUAAUAUAAAGGAAUGCUCUAGUAUUAAGACUAUCUCUGGGGCCUCCCAAAUAAAACUUUCUUAAAUUUGAUCUGA
rnacentral:misc_RNA from 1 species